rnacentral:rRNA from 1 species
AUAUUCUGUAGCAAGGUUAACCGAAUAGGGGAGCCGAAGGGAAACCGAGUCUUAACUGGGCGUUAAGUUGCAGGGUAUAGACCCGAAACCCGGUGAUCUAGCCAUGGGCAGGUUGAAGGUUGGGUAACACUAACUGGAGGACCGAACCGACUAAUGUUGAAAAAUUAGCGGAUGACUUGUGGCUGGGGGUGAAAGGCCAAUCAAACCGGGAGAUAGCUGGUUCUCCCCGAAAGCUAUUUAGGUAGCGCCUCGUGAAUUCAUCUCCGGGGGUAGAGCACUGUUUCGGCAAGGGGGUCAUCCCGACUUACCAACCCGAUGCAAACUGCGAAUACCGGAGAAUGUUAUCACGGGAGACACACGGCGGGUGCUAACGUCCGUCGUGAAGAGGGAAACAACCCAGACCGCCAGCUAAGGUCCCAAAGUCAUGGUUAAGUGGGAAACGAUGUGGGAAGGCCCAGACAGCCAGGAUGUUGGCUUAGAAGCAGCCAUCAUUUAAAGAAAGCGUAAUAGCUCACUGGUCGAGUCGGCCUGCGCGGAAGAUGUAACGGGGCUAAACCAUGCACCGAAGCUGCGGCAGCGACACUGUGUGUUGUUGGGUAGGGGAGCGUUCUGUAAGCCUGUGAAGGUGUGCUGUGAGGCAUGCUGGAGGUAUCAGAAGUGCGAAUGCUGACAUAAGUAACGAUAAAGCGGGUGAAAAGCCCGCUCGCCGGAAGACCAAGGGUUCCUGUCCAACGUUAAUCGGGGCAGGGUGAGUCGACCCCUAAGGCGAGGCCGAAAGGCGUAGUCGAUGGGAAACAGGUUAAUAUUCCUGUACUUGGUGUUACUGCGAAGGGGGGACGGAGAAGGCUAUGUUGGCCGGGCGACGGUUGUCCCGGUUUAAGCGUGUAGGCUGGUUUUCCAGGCAAAUCCGGAAAAUCAAGGCUGAGGCGUGAUGACGAGGCACUACGGUGCUGAAGCAACAAAUGCCCUGCUUCCAGGAAAAGCCUCUAAGCAUCAGGUAACAUCAAAUCGUACCCCAAACCGACACAGGUGGUCAGGUAGAGAAUACCAAGGCGCUUGAGAGAACUCGGGUGAAGGAACUAGGCAAAAUGGUGCCGUAACUUCGGGAGAAGGCACGCUGAUAUGUAGGUGAAGUCCCUCGCGGAUGGAGCUGAAAUCAGUCGAAGAUACCAGCUGGCUGCAACUGUUUAUUAAAAACACAGCACUGUGCAAACACGAAAGUGGACGUAUACGGUGUGACGCCUGCCCGGUGCCGGAAGGUUAAUUGAUGGGGUCAGCGCAAGCGAAGCUCUUGAUCGAAGCCCCGGUAAACGGCGGCCGUAACUAUAACGGUCCUAAGGUAGCGAAAUUCCUUGUCGGGUAAGUUCCGACCUGCACGAAUGGCGUAAUGAUGGCCAGGCUGUCUCCACCCGAGACUCAGUGAAAUUGAACUCGCUGUGAAGAUGCAGUGUACCCGCGGCAAGACGGAAAGACCCCGUGAACCUUUACUAUAGCUUGACACUGAACAUUGAGCCUUGAUGUGUAGGAUAGGUGGGAGGCUUUGAAGUGUGGACGCCAGUCUGCAUGGAGCCGACCUUGAAAUACCACCCUUUAAUGUUUGAUGUUCUAACGUGGACCCGUGAUCCGGGUUGCGGACAGUGUCUGGUGGGUAGUUUGACUGGGGCGGUCUCCUCCUAAAGAGUAACGGAGGAGCACGAAGGUUGGCUAAUCCUGGUCGGACAUCAGGAGGUUAGUGCAAUGGCAUAAGCCAGCUUGACUGCGAGCGUGACGGCGCGAGCAGGUGCGAAAGCAGGUCAUAGUGAUCCGGUGGUUCUGAAUGGAAGGGCCAUCGCUCAACGGAUAAAAGGUACUCCGGGGAUAACAGGCUGAUACCGCCCAAGAGUUCAUAUCGACGGCGGUGUUUGGCACCUCGAUGUCGGCUCAUCACAUCCUGGGGCUGAAGUAGGUCCCAAGGGUAUGGCUGUUCGCCAUUUAAAGUGGUACGCGAGCUGGGUUUAGAACGUCGUGAGACAGUUCGGUCCCUAUCUGCCGUGGGCGCUGGAGAACUGAGGGGGGCUGCUCCUAGUACGAGAGGACCGGAGUGGACGCAUCACUGGUGUUCGGGUUGUCAUGCCAAUGGCACUGCCCGGUAGCUAAAUGCGGAAGAGAUAAGUGCUGAAAGCAUCUAAGCACGAAACUUGCCCCGAGAUGAGUUCU